AACAAGGGAAACUGUUUUACUGUGUGGAGAGACCUAACAAGUAGGAUGAAGUCUCACCCUUGACACACAAGGCAGCACAGGGCGCACACCCAAGGACAUCAUGCUUCUGUGCUGUUUUCUUCAUACAAAUUGAUUUUUAAUGGAAAUGCUGUAUUUGGUGAAUGGAACAAAAACUGUGAUUUGCUCAUGAAAUACUUCUGUAAACAUCUGUAAAACAUAUACGCAAUAAAUUUCAGAACUAAUUCUUGUGGAUAUUUUAACAAUGUCUCUUCACGCCUGUCCUAUGACGUCCUGGCACUUCUUUGAUGCAGUAACCUCUCAUUAAUCAACAGGGGAGUACAACAGAUGGGGGGGUGGGAUAGAGGGUGCUCAAUCACUAUAUCAUCCCUGGGAGACCCUCAGAGCAAGUCUCCAUGCCAGUGCUUUUCCCAUACCCAACACGUCCCAACAGGACCCAUUAACUUACUCUAGCCACAACAUUUAUAAACACUGCCUUAACCUCCUCCACUCAGGGUUGUUUUGUAGGGUUGUUACUUGCAGAAACAACCUGGUGAGCAGGGCCAACUUCUGGGUAGCAUGGCACGUGCCCUUGUAUUCAAGAGUUGGUGUUCAAGGACCAUGAAAGUAAUGAGCCUCAGUUCAGUCUCAAAGAAUAACUGCCAAUUUGACACAGUCCUUCCAGCAAUAUCCCAUGAUUCUGUGAACUUUUAGUUACCAGAGGUAUCCAUGCCUUGCAUCCAUAACGUAAGACAGGAGCACAAACGACUUGAAGAUCCAGAUCUUCAUCCUUCUACACAUAUAUUUGUGCUUAGCAAGUUCAUCAUACCAUAAGCCAAGCCAACUUGCCAGAAGACUUUAGACAUGACCCACUCUUAUUUUGCACUACACUACCAAGGUGUGUGAUAUUUUCCAAGAACUCAAUGUCCUCGCCACAUGCAUGAACAGUCCAUAUCGUUUCAUCUAGUAUGCCUCCAAACACCUGUACCUUGGCCCAGGAACCCAAAGUCCUAAUGGCUUUGCCUUCUUGUGCAGUGCCUCGAGUCAUCAAAUCUCAAGCGACUCCGCAAGGAUUACUGCAUCACCAGCAAAUCUAAGAUCAAGGACCCUGGCAUUGCCAACAAGUACUCCACAAUAACUGGCCCACAACUCUGCCUAAUACCCAGUCCACACAAGUGAUGGGGCAAGGACACAGCCCUGCCCCACUUUUGCAUUCACAGAAAAGAAGCUGGGCCCCUUCCCACACUUUACAGCACUCUCUGUCCUACAGUAGAGGCCAAUCAAUCUUUCCAGGAAUCCCGCAGAGUCACAGGAGAUCCAAGACUGCCUCACAAUGGACUCAAUCAAACAUCUUCUUGAGAUCAAUAUAGACCGAGCAUCCCUUUCAAAACUCAUGACAGCGCUCCACCGGUAAGCGAAGCAAUAGGAUACAGUCUGUUGAUGAUUUAUCAGGCAUGAAUCAUGACUGCUCAGGUCUGUGAUCUCAGUAGUUGACUGCAAAUCUGCAUAAGCAAUAGAGGGGCAAACACAUUGCCUGGCACACUGAGCAAGUUAAUACUGCAGUAGUUGUUCCAGUCCUGAUGGCCCCUUUUCCCUUUCUGGGUAGGGAUGACAGCCACAUUUAACAUUCAGGAGGAAUGGCAUCAGAUUUUCAUAUGGCAGUUAAGACCACAUCCAACCUGCUGAUCAGAGCUGCAAGGCUUUGAUGUGUUGACAACAGUGGGUUCAGCUGGCAUGAGAGGCCAGAGUAGGGACAUGGCAUGUGAAAGCCUGUAAAAAAUCCUCAUACUAAACACUUCAUUAUCUACUACUAACUAAAUUAACAGGAACAUACACCAGGGGGGACGUUGCUUCACUCACCUACCGCCUCCACCCCCGACAGUCCCUCUGAGCAAGUCUACACACAGUUACCCUUCCCAUUCCAAGCCACUCUUGGCAGGAUCAAUUAACUUGCUCCAGCCAUGAGUUACGUGGGUGUCCCCCUUGUUUCCUCCACUCAGGGUUGUCUCGUACAGAAACAACCCUAUGAGCAGGAUCAACGUCUUGGAAGCAUGCCACGUGCCCAUGCAGCCAGAGUUGGCAUUCAUGGACUAAGGUGGUAACAAGCCUCCAUUCAGUUUCAGAGGUAGUCGCUGGUUCACCACUAAAUCAUUCCAGACACCCCAUGAUCCUGCGAAGGUACUUGAUACCAAAGGCAUCGACACGCCUCUCCAAGUCACUAUUUAGUGUCCAUGUCUCACAGCCAUACAGCAAGACAGGAAGCACAAGUGACUUACUAAAAUCUUUGUCUGCCUGCAGAGAUAUCGACAAUGGUACAUACUCAUAUUGAGCGAGUCCAUAACACAGCGGGCCAGCCCAAUCCGUUGAAUGACUUCCUGGUAAAACCCACCACUGUUAUGCACUAUGCUACCAAGGGCCUGGGGGCAGCCAGCAGCCCAGAAAAAGCCUAGAUAUGAAGAGGAUUGAAUCAGUUGGCAGCAUUAUACAAAGGUGCUACCAACUGAACUACUGUGCUUAGCAUAUCAAAGUGAAUACCUGUACUGUACUGUGAAGUAUAUUUUGAGAUAGGUACUCAAUGAAGAAUAAAUAAUAAUAAUAAUAAUAAUGUGAUCCCACAGUGAGCAAGUAAACAACUGUGCAAACAACAAAGGUGCAGAAACAUGCAAGGAGGAGUGGGCUAAGAGUGAUCAGAUCCAUCAAUGAAAACACCUUCAGGAUUUGGAUUAUAAAGUGAAACUUGGUACUUUAAAAGGAACUCGGGAUUCAGAUUCCGUACCGGUGAACUAAAAUGAUAAUUUCAUUGCCUAUUUCAAUUCAGAUACGUACCGUUUUCUUGAAUACCCUAAUCCAACACUCAUUCAGCUUAUCAUAGGGAGUAACUGUCUUUCAAUAUGUUUGCAAAAAUUCAAUAUCUUUUUCUAGAUGAAGGAAAAGUGACUUUUCAGAGGCUUAACUGCCUCCUGCACCAGCCCAGCCUUUACUUUCCAAACUUUUGAGUUCAUAAUCCAAAGGAUGGCCUUAUCUUUAGUUAUGAGGCUUUGUGGAUAAGGACUGCCAAGUCCAUGAAACAGCCAAGGCCCUGAGGCAGCCCCUCCCUCCCAUGAGCAACAACUGUCAUGUGAACAGCACGUCAUAUGUUUACUUGGUGCUUUUCAUGGAGGCAAAACAAGACUGAGCAUAAUUUAUACUAAGUCUAUGAGGAAAAGCAAUUUGUCUGGUCUGUACUUUAUUACACAACAAAUUAGGAGCUAGACAAGUUCAAAUAAAAUUUUAUUCCAUAACAGUGCACAGCAAAAUAAAGCAACAUUCUUAAGAUUAUCAUUCUAAUAUUUCAUCCUUUUAUCUUCUAAAAAUUCACUUCUUCACUUCAUGAAGAGUUUUAAGGCAAGUGUAAAUUAUCCCACAGGUCAGUUUGCCAACAUUUGCAUCAGUGUUGGGCACCAGACAGGAGACCAAAUCACUACACCCACAGACCCUGCGAGACACUCAGACUGUACUGAAGGGAGGUAGGUGAGGCCUCUCAAUAAGCUGGCCAUCCAAGGACUGACCCGGCACAGCAUGCCUUGCUCAGGGAAAGGGUUCUUUCAGGCCCAUAAGUUGGUCUGGCUGCUGGUAUGCGCUGGGCUCACCAGGACAGGUGAGGCCACACCACCCAGCCUCCUGAUGAACCACGUCACUAACAAACAAGUGUGAGACUACUUCGCAGUGAAUAACAGUAAGACCAUUGACAAAUGGCCUGCAGUCAUGAUAAAAACUAAGAAGUAAUUAGAUAAAAGUAGUUCUUGAAUAGUUCAAAAAGUCUUGUGCUGACAUAAAAUAAAACAGUAUGAGGUGUAGAUGCAUAAGAAACUAAGCAGACAUGACCAUAAGAGAAAUGAAUGAUAAGCCAGACACUAGAGUCUUUUGUGCUAGCAACUUCUCCCUGCAGCCAGACCAAGUUA